rnacentral:rRNA from 1 species
AGACUUUGAUUCUGGCUCAGGACGAACGCUGGCGGUGCGCCUAACACAUGCAAGUCGAACGAGCGAGAGAGAGCUUGCUUUCUCGAGCGAGUGGCGAACGGGUGAGUAACGCGUGAGGAACCUGCCUCAAAGAGGGGGACAACAGUUGGAAACGACUGCUAAUACCGCAUAAGCCCACGGGUCGGCAUCGACCAGAGGGAAAAGGAGCAAUCCGCUUUGAGAUGGCCUCGCGUCCGAUUAGCUAGUUGGUGAGGUAACGGCCCACCAAGGCAACGAUCGGUAGCCGGACUGAGAGGUUGAACGGCCACAUUGGGACUGAGACACGGCCCAGACUCCUACGGGAGGCAGCAGUGGGGAAUAUUGCACAAUGGGGGAAACCCUGAUGCAGCGACGCCGCGUGGAGGAAGAAGGUCUUCGGAUUGUAAACUCCUGUUGUUGAGGAAGAUAAUGACGGUACUCAACAAGGAAGUGACGGCUAACUACGUGCCAGCAGCCGCGGUAAAACGUAGGUCACAAGCGUUGUCCGGAAUUACUGGGUGUAAAGGGAGCGCAGGCGGGAAGACAAGUUGGAAGUGAAAUCCAUGGGCUCAACCCAUGAACUGCUUUCAAAACUGUUUUUCUUGAGUAGUGCAGAGGUAGGCGGAAUUCCCGGUGUAGCGGUGGAAUGCGUAGAUAUCGGGAGGAACACCAGUGGCGAAGGCGGCCUACUGGGCACCAACUGACGCUGAGGCUCGAAAGUGUGGGUAGCAAACAGGAUUAGAUACCCUGGUAGUCCACACCGUAAACGAUGAUUACUAGGUGUUGGAGGAUUGACCCCUUCAGUGCCGCAGUUAACACAAUAAGUAAUCCACCUGGGGAGAAAGACCGCAAGGUUGCAACUCAAAGGAAUUGA